AUGGUUGAAACCGAGAAACAUUUGGUAUUUCCAUUGGUAUACAAAAUUAUUGAGUUGGCUUUGAUAUUGCCAGUGUCUACGACAUCUAUUGAGAGAGCUUUUUCAGCGGUGAAGAUUAUCAAGAUUAAACUACGUAGAAAGAUCAAUAAUGAAUGGUUCAAUGGCUUGAUGAUAUGUUACACUUAG
rnacentral:rRNA from 1 species